rnacentral:rRNA from 1 species
CCUACGGGAGGCAGCAGUAGGGAAUAUUGCUCAAUGGGGGAAACCCUGAAGCAGCAACGCCGCGUGGAGGAUGAAGGUUUUCGGAUUGUAAACUCCUUUUGUUAGAGAAGAUAAUGACGGUAUCUAACGAAUAAGCACCGGCUAACUCCGUUCCAGCAGCCGCGGUAAUACGGAGGGUGCAAGCGUUACUCGGAAUCACUGGGCGUAAAGGGCGCGUAGGCGGGAUAGCAAGUCAGAUGUGAAAUCCUAUGGCUUAACCAUAGAACUGCAUUUGAAACUGUUAUUCUAGAGUAUGGGAGAGGUAGGUGGAAUUCUUGGUGUAGGGGUAAAAUCCGUAGAGAUCAAGAGGAAUACUCAUUGCGAAGGCGACCUGCUAGAACAUAACUGACGCUGAUGCGCGAAAGCGUGGGGAGCAAACAGGAUUAGAUACCCCGGUAGUC